UGCGCCAUAAGGAGUCCCAUGCCCUACCAGAUUUUUGGAUGCCAAAUACACCCCACGCCCUCUACUUCUUUUGCAUGUCAGAAUCAAUGGAAAUCCUCUUUUCUCUGUGUGACAUUCGGGCACAAAUAGGAAGGUAUGUGGGCGGCACAAUUCUAGAGUCCAAAGGAGUUUGGACUCUCACCUAAACCCUAUCUCUUCUUUGAUUUAAAC
rnacentral:lncRNA from 1 species